rnacentral:lncRNA from 1 species
UUGGUAUUAUGGUAUUAAUCAUGCCGUAACUAUGGCCAUUAUUCUAAUGAAUUAAUAUUAUUGUUACUAUUAUAGAAGUAUUAUUAUCUAUUAGCAUAAUUACUAUUACUUUUAUCAUCAUGUUAUUAUAUAAUUAUUUUGCCCUUUUUUUUACCCAUGUAGUUAUUUCAUUUCUAUCCAUUGAUUUAUUUUUACCAUUG